GGAGUUAAUUAAGGGGGAGGGUUGUGAAUCAUUUAUUGGUGAUCAACACCAGUAACUGCUCUUGGCGGUCACUUACCGAAAGGACCUCACUCAUCUCUCCCAUUUAGGGCCUGUUUGGCUCCACCCUGUUAAAGUUUAACACCAGUCACAUUGGAUGUUUGGAUGCUAAUUAGAAGUAUUAAAUAUAGACUAAUUACAAAACUAAUUGCACAGUUGGAGUGUAAUUC
rnacentral:lncRNA from 1 species